GAGCUUCGUGAGGAGGAUCGGGUCGGCCGCUUUCGUUUGAUCCGGCGGCAUCGACCUCGUCAAGGUCGAACCUCCGCCGCCGACUCGUAGACCGGGGGCCAUUCGAUCGAGUCCUCCGCAAGUUCCGCGAGGAGGACUAUCGAGCCGUUGUCUGGGUCCGAGCUCAAUUCGAAGAUUCCUGACGAGGGGAUCGUGGACUCGCCGGAGGUUAAUCGACAGGUGCCACAAUCGGAUCUCGGUGCUCUAGUCCUCUAUAUGACGAAAUCAUCUCACUGUGUCUUGACCUUGGAGAAUUGGAUGCUGCAGUAGCCAUUGUUGCAGACAUGGAGACUGCUGGAAUCACGGUGCCUGAUCAGACCCUGGACAGGGUCAUUUCUGCACGGCAAGGCAUUGAUAGUGUCACCGAUGAUGUGCCCGAAUAGAUCCUUGCAUUCAAGGGUUAUCAGAGUUUGUAUCAGGGUAUCAACGAGUACUCCAGAUACCUGAAUGUGGGGCUUGAGAUUAUCAACAAAGCUGAUUGCAAGGACGAA